UACGAAGGGGGGCUAGCGUUGCUCGGAAUCACUGGGCGUAAAGGGUGCGUAGGCGGGUCUUUUAAGUCAGGGGUGAAAUCCUGGAGCUCAACUCCAGAACUGCCUUUGAUACUGAGGAUCUUGAGUUCGGGAGAGGUGAGUGGAACUGCGAGUGUAGAGGUGAAAUUCGUAGAUAUUCGCAAGAACACCAGUGGCGAAGGCGGCUCACUGGCCCGAUACUGACGCUGAGGCACGAAAAGCGUGGGGGAGCAAACAGGG
rnacentral:rRNA from 1 species